rnacentral:rRNA from 1 species
UACGUAGGGUGCGAGCGUUAAUCGGAAUUACUGGGCGUAAAGCGUGCGCAGGCGGCUAUGUAAGUCAGGGGUGAAAUCCCCGGGCUUAACCUGGGAACUGCAUUUGUGACUGCAUAGCUAGAGUACGGUAGAGGGGGAUGGAAUUCCGCGUGUAGCAGUGAAAUGCGUAGAUAUGCGGAGGAACACCGAUGGCGAAGGCAAUCCCCUGGACCUGUACUGACGCUCAUGCACGAAAGCGUGGGGAGCAAACAGG